rnacentral:rRNA from 1 species
CUAUACAUGCAAGUAGAACGCUGAAGAGAGGAGCUUGCUCUUCUUGGAUGAGUUGCGAACGGGUGAGUAACGCGUAGGUAACCUGCCUGGUAGCGGGGGAUAACUAUUGGAAACGAUAGCUAAUACCGCAUAAGAGUAGAUGUUGCAUGACAUUUGCUUAAAAGGUGCAAUUGCAUCACUACCAGAUGGACCUGCGUUGUAUUAGCUAGUUGGUGAGGUAACGGCUCACCAAGGCGACGAUACAUAGCCGACCUGAGAGGGUGAUCGGCCACACUGGGACUGAGACACGGCCCAGACUCCUACGGGAGGCAGCAGUAGGGAAUCUUCGGCAAUGGACGGAAGUCUGACCGAGCAACGCCGCGUGAGUGAAGAAGGUUUUCGGAUCGUAAAGCUCUGUUGUAAGAGAAGAACGAGUGUGAGAGUGGAAAGUUCACACUGUGACGGUAUCUUACCAGAAAGGGACGGCUAACUACGUGCCAGCAGCCGCGGUAAUACGUAGGUCCCGAGCGUUGUCCGGAUUUAUUGGGCGUAAAGCGAGCGCAGGCGGUUAGAUAAGUCUGAAGUUAAAGGCUGUGGCUUAACCAUAGUACGCUUUGGAAACUGUUUAACUUGAGUGCAAGAGGGGAGAGUGGAAUUCCAUGUGUAGCGGUGAAAUGCGUAGAUAUAUGGAGGAACACCGGUGGCGAAAGCGGCUCUCUGGCUUGUAACUGACGCUGAGGCUCGAAAGCGUGGGGAGCAAACAGGAUUAGAUACCCUGGUAGUCCACGCCGUAAACGAUGAGUGCUAGGUGUUAGACCCUUUCCGGGGUUUAGUGCCGCAGCUAACGCAUUAAGCACUCCGCCUGGGGAGUACGACCGCAAGGUUGAAACUCAAAGGAAUUGACGGGGGCCCGCACAAGCGGUGGAGCAUGUGGUUUUAAUUCGAAGCAACGCGAAAAACCUUACCAAGGUCU